ACAGUACAUCAAGAGUUGUUCAUUAAUGAACACGGCAACCUGGGAUUGACACCCAAGGUGCCACUAGCCGAAGGGUUAGGAUGGGGUUUAGCCGAAAGCUAAGCAAAAAAGUGUGAGAAAAU
rnacentral:ncRNA from 1 species